UCAUAGGCUUUUUUAAAAGCCAUUUUUGGCCUAAUGCAGUAUUCC
rfam:Monodelphis domestica chromosome 3, whole genome shotgun sequence.